CCUUAAAGAACCUGCCUUUGCAGUGCUCACACAGAUUGUCUGAUGAAAGUAAAGAAGCAAGGCGUCUUGCGAUUGAGACUUCAGUGUCCCCUUCGUCUAGAGGCCCAGGACACCGCCCUUUCACGGCGGUAACAGGGGUUCGAAUCCCCUAGGGGACGCCACUUGCUGGUUCGUGAGUGAAAGACGCAUGCCGAACUAUCUCAAAACUCAUCUUCGGGUGACGUUUGAGAUAUUUGCUCUUUAAAAAUCUGGAUCAAGCUGAAAAUUGAAACGACACACAGCUAAUGUGUGUUCGAGUCUCUCAAAUUUUCGCGACGCGAUGAUGUUUUACGAAACAUCUUCGGGUUGUGA
rnacentral:misc_RNA from 1 species